rnacentral:lncRNA from 1 species
UGUUAUGAUAUGUUAUUCAAGGGCUAGGAAGAUGGCUCAGUUUGUAAAGCACUUGCUACACAAUUUUAAGGACCAGUAUUAAGAUCCCCAGAAACCAUGUAAAAGUCAUUUAGGCUUGGCAGUCACCUGGAAUCCCAGCAUUUGGAAGGUAGCAACAAGGGAUUCCCCAGGGCAGGUUAUCUAGCCAGCUUAGCCAGAAUUAGCCAGUUGCAGGCACAGCAAGAGAUUCUGCCUCAACAAAUAAAAUGAAGACAGAUCAAAGAAGAUACUGACAUAACUUUUACCCUCUCCACACACACGGGAACACACAUGCAUGAACAACCCCACACCUAGGUGCACCCAUGCACAUGCAAACACACAUGUAUACCACACACAUAUAGAUGAAAAAUUAAAGAAUUAUAUAUAUAUAUUCAGUUUUGAUAUUAGGGUUCAGUGGACCUACAGAGAAAACCCAGAAGUAGAUUUCACUAAUUGUGUAGAUGAGCUGUGGAGUAGGAGAACUCUCAGGGAAUCUCAGCACUGAAGCAGACCGUGGUGAUUAUCAGAUUCAAGUGUUUCAAUGUGAAGAUCUGAAAUCUGAAGCCCCAAGAAGGAAAAUGCCUGACCUGUCACGGUCACACAACUUGGAUCAACCAGAACUUCAGACGCCAGGUGAAAAGCCCCAGGUGAUGUGCCAGAGUCUGAGAAGAGAAGUCUAAGGAAAACAGGAUUAAAAAUGAAUAGUUUACCCAGACCUCUGCCAUCACAUCAAGAGGACAGAAGAUCCUCACUUGAAAUCUAUGGAAAAAUAAAAAAAGAAAGAAAGAAAAGAAAAGAGAAAGCUUAAGGGGAGUUUUGUAGCCUUUCUUAGCUGAAAACAGGCAGAAUAACGUAGAACAAUUUACCAUUUCACCAUAUGACUAUGAGGUAAGUAACUCAGUUUCCCUCUCAUCUCACUCCUUUCUAGUCGCCACCUAGUCCUAUUCAUCUCCAGCUUAUCCCCCUAGGAAAGUACAGUUAGCAGUUCAGUGGAUAAUUUUAGAG